AUGGGUGGCGGGGUUAAAGCCAAGGAGGAGUACCGCUUUGGCUCGUCCAAGGUUUCUCCUGCUCCUGCUGAAGAAGUGGCUGCUGCUGCCGCUGCCAAGGGGAAGAAAUCCAGGGCGAAGAAGGCUGCUGCUCCUGCUCCUGCUGCUGCCGCUGCCAAGGGGAAGAAAUCCAGGGCGAAGAAGGCUGCGUCGCGGAUAGACUUGGACAAGGCUGAAGCCGUUGUGUAUAAAGCCGAUAUGAAGGCGAGGGAGUCUGCCAGGGUAGCCAAGGCCAAGGCCGAGGAGGCCGAAGAAGCUGCCAGGAUAGCCAAGGCCAAGGCCGAGGAGGCUGAAGAAGCCGCCCGGGCCGCCAAGGCGGAUGCUGAGGCGGCCGCCAAGGCGAUAGAAGCCGCAGACGAGGCGAUGCUUCUCUAUGAGAAGGAGAUGGAGUGGGCGCAGUGCGAGGAAGAAUUGGACGCCUCCAUGUUCCGCGGCCGCUGGAACCAACAGCACGCCCGCCACGGCGCCACCUUCCUGGAAAUCACAUCUAUCCCACCUAUGCGUUACACUUACCCUACUCCCGAGGAGAAGGUCUACAUCAAGACCGCGGAAACUCUGCAGAUCGUUUCUCUCAAAAUCGUGUCGAUCAAUGACGACUCUUUACGCUGGCCACUGCAAGUGUUUGGUAUGGUUGCCGUGCGUGAUAUCUUGGAUCACAAGCGCAACAUUAUCUUCCAGCGACAGAGGAAUAACUGCCAAAUCAUCAAUAAGAAUGAUCCGUAUCUAGCAUUGACAGGCCCAAGCCGUGCUGUUGCUGUGUCGAUGGAACCUUCGCACAUUGAGGUUUCGCUGAAAGUGAAGGGGACCACUAAAUCUGAUGAUAAAGACCUAAGCGAGCUAGUUUUGAAUUUUAGAUCUGGAUGCGUGCUUAGUGACGUUUACCCUAGCAGGAUUAGCACAAUUGAAUUUAAAUACGGUCACAUUAUGUGCGCUGUGGAGGCCACGAUCCGCAUAAAAGUCACUGGUGGGUCUUGGCCAGAUGGUUUUCGAGGUAUGUUUACUGCCUACAACACUGGAGCUGAUGACCUGAAAGUCAAGUUACUUGAUUUUGGAGAUGGUGGAUUGCCUGUUGGUGCUGAUGGCAUGGUCAAGCUCUCACGCAGUGUGGUUUCCGUUGACCUUGAGGAGAUGCUCAAAGUCUCUGCCAUGGCAUAUCCUAUUAACGAUGAUGAAGUUGCUGAUAGCAGUGAGGUAGCCUUAAAACCUGAGAUGGCUGGUAUAACUCCCCCAGGUUUUGUGCUGACGGUUGGCUCAUGUAGUAUGGAAGUGAGUGUUGCCUGGUCCCUUUUCCGUCGUGGAUUCUGA
rnacentral:rRNA from 1 species